ensembl:lncRNA
GAGUUUUAUUGGUAGAGAUGCUCGAGUGUAGGGAAGUUCUAGCAUUGCUGCUCGUGAAGCAGGCAGAGCCUAUGAAGAAGCCCAGAGUCGGGACGGGACUGACCUUUCUGCGCUCAGAGACAGCAACGGGUGUGUUUUUUCCAAGUGACUCAGAUUGUCUAAAAGACAUUUUGUAUCCUCAGUGAGUUGUAAAGCCAACUACAGACCUUCCAGGAGUGGUUAAGGUCCUAAAGGAGAAUUCUGACUCUGAAAUUCAGAAGAAUGAGAGGCAUUUGGCAGUUAAGUCUGUGGGGCUGCAGCCCAGAAAGCUUGCAUCAAGAGUUCUGUUUCUAGUGGCCAGCUUUGAUAGUGUGGUACUUACUGGGCAGUACUCAGCUCUGGAGGGAGAAAAGCAUGGCAUCUGUAUCUGGUACAAAUAGGCUGUUUGAAGCAGCUGGAUUGGGCUAACAGCACUGGUAGCCAGGAGAGGAAGAAAAGGAGAGAAAGCUUACAGAUUUUUGUGAGGAUACCCUACAAUGCUUCGAAGAAAAAAUGGUGAUAAACUAAAUUAUAAUACUCAUUGGUCAGAAUUCUUCCAGGUCAGAAUUAUGAAUGAAGUAUCAAUGAUGCAAAGAACUGUGAGGCUGCAAAGUUACCAGCUGCUGUUCAGGUUCCUCAAAGGUGUCCAUGCUCCACGGAGGAUGCCACAGCAAGCCUUGCAAUUAUAGGAGUGCAUCCAACACGUGCGGUGGAAAAAGAGGCUCUUCUCAGUGCUCUUUGUGGAUGAGUAGGAGUGAUGCUGAUUCCCACAACAGGAUGAAAAUGCUAACGACGCAGUGCUUAAAAAAAAGGAGAAUGAGAACUUGCAGAAAUGAGGCUGGCACAGGGAGGCCACCCAGCCCACCUGCCCCAUUUCCCGUGGGAGUCUCUGCUGGAAAACAGUGCUUCCCCGGAGGACAGCAAUGCAGCAAACACCAUCAGCACCUCUUUCAGUUUUGUCAAGUUAGUGGGUUAAUGAGUUGGUAGGAAUCACUACAAACAUGCAGAGGAACAAAAGAGGGAUGAAGACAAAGAACAAACAUUAUAAGGGAAACAGAUUAAUAAAAGAAGCUUGGCCACACUACCUCCCCAUAAGCGACUGCCGUUUGUGUUAUCACAGUGCUGAAGGAGAGCUGGGAGUGAGCUGUCAGCAGAUGGGCCUGCUGAAGCGAAUCACGUUCUGCACUGCGUGCUCUGCAGCUCCCGAACAAAAUGGGCUAAGCAGGAAACAAAAGCUGGGCUUUGACUCCUGCUGCACUGGCUCAAGUGAGUUCUAGCCGGAUCCUUAAUGUUGUUUUAUCUGCAGAGUUUUCGUGUGUGUGAUCAAUGCCAACUCCGUUGGGCAAAUACAGGAUGCAUAGGGAAUUAAAAAAAAAAAAAAAAACUCCAGCUGCCAACAAGAAAAAG